rnacentral:rRNA from 1 species
AUCAGGUAGGGAUACCCGCUGAACUUAAGCAUAUCAAUAAGCGGAGGAAAAGAAACCAACAGGGAUUGCCUCAGUAACGGCGAGUGAAGCGGCAACAGCUCAAAUUUGAAAUCUGGCUCUUUUAGGGUCCGAGUUGUAAUUUGUAGAAGAUGCUUCGAGUGUGGCUCCGGUCUAAGUUCCUUGGAACAGGACGUCAUAGAGGGUGAGAAUCCCGUAUGUGACUGGUUGCCUUCGCUCAUGUGAAGCUCUUUCGACGAGUCGAGUUGUUUGGGAAUGCAGCUCAAAAUGGGUGGUAAAUUUCAUCUAAAGCUAAAUAUUGGCCAGAGACCGAUAGCGCACAAGUAGAGUGAUCGAAAGAUGAAAAGCACUUUGGAAAGAGAGUUAAACAGUACGUGAAAUUGUUGAAAGGGAAGCGCUUGCAACCAGACUUGCACGCAGUUGAUCAUCCGGUGUUCUCACCGGUGCACUCUGCUGCGUUCAGGCCAGCAUCGGUUUGGUGGUUGGAUAGAG